rnacentral:lncRNA from 1 species
GUCCGGGCGAUCUGACCGGUUCAGUCCGGUCCACUGCGGUUCGUAUGAACCGGUUCAAGGCUGGCUGGAACGGGUCGUUGGGUCGGGUUGCGCGGAUCUCGGGUCGGGUUCGGGUCAACGCGCGGAUCCUUCUUUGGUUAAAACGGCGUCGUUUUGGGUUUUAUUGAAACGACGUCGUUUUGGCCAAUGAUAAUUUAUAUAAAAGUCAAAAUUAUUUUUUUUUCGUCAUUUUUUUCGAUCUUCAGAAAAAAAAAGAAGCCCUUUUUUUUUCUUCUCUCUUCUUCUUCAACCGCACGCCGGCCGGCCGUCGGUACCGCCGUCGUUCGCCGGGGUCGUCGUCUCCGAUGGUCGGAAAAACCCCAAAAUUCUCCCACGAACUCUUCUCGACCCCCUGAGCACAGAUCUGACCUCCUUUUCACCGAAAACGGCCUUGAUUCGCGUAGAUCGGGUUUUGAAGUUUUCGGUUUUUCUUCUCUCUUUUUUUUUCGGUGAAACUGAUGAUUUCUUGGCUUUUGCAGGUGGCUCGGCGCUGAGGUUCCUCGCCUACGGCGAGGACUGUGUUAUUUUUUUGGUUUUUGUUUUCGUUUCUGUAGAUUUUUUUUUUGGCCGUUCUUUUUUGGUCCUCCCCCUCUUUUCCCUCUGGUUUGCAAGCUCUAUUUAUAGAGCUUGUUUGAGAUUCAAAUUUCAGAUUUUCUGGGAUUCGAAAAUCAUACCUACCGUCCGUGAUUGGUGGCUUGUCAGAAGGCCGGUUGGGUAGUUGGUCGGACCAGUUCGGCGCCGUACCAACCCCUUGACUUUUAUCUUAUUUUCAUUUUUUUUUGUUUGUUUUGUUUGUUUUUGUUUUUUUGUUUGUUUUGUUAAAUAUUAUUAUUAAAAAUCAAACGGUAGACCCGGACAAAACCGGUGUCUACAGCUGCCCCUCUUUGCACAUUACUGAGAAUCAGGAAUAGGGCAAAGACAAAGACAACGAUUUUGUCCGAAAGUGAAUUCUCUUGGAAAAGCUCCUCUCAGCAGAGGCUCAACGACUUUAAAAUCUCAUCUUAAAAAGCUCAUCUCAGCAGAGGCUCCAUAACUUUAAAAUUCUCAUGAAAAAAGUUCCUCUCAGCAGAGGCUCAACAACUUUAAAAUCUCAUCUGGAAAAGCUCCUCUUCAACUGAGGCUCCACAACUUUAAAAUUCUCAUCUGAAAAAGCUCCUCUGCUCUCAGCAGAGGCUCAACAACUUUAAAAUUCUUUCUUGAAAAAGCUCCUCUCAACAGAGGCUCCACAACUUUAAAAUUUCAUUUUGAAAAAGCUCCUCUCAACAGAGGCUCCACAACUUUAAAAUUCUUUCUUGAAAAAGCUCCUCUCAACAGAGGCUCAACAACUUU